AUCGGCUAAGACAGGGCGGCAGCGGCAGCGGCACUGCUGACCCACUCUCAGACUUUUCCUGGUCCAGACGUUCCUGAAUAUUUCUGUGAACCCAUGGAGGACCUGAGAGGACCUGACACUACUCUUCCACAGGACUCCUGGAAACACCGGAAACAUACUGGACAGAGAAGGACUGCAAGCUAUGAACUCCCCACUCUUUGUUCAUCCUGAAUAUCAUCGGCUAACUGAUUGUGACACUCAGGACCCCUCUGAAUAUUGCUGCCACCGUCUUCAAGUCAUUUGCCUCCCCUCAUCUGAACCCCAUUAGGCAGGGAAGGCUUUUACACCCUUUAUCAGCAUGAACCAGCUCCAGAAGAUGAGAUCUCCAUCCUUUGUCCCAAAUAAAUAGUCUCAGCAAACUGCUUGAGAGGGGACAUGAUGUAAUCUAGCUUCUAGGGGAGAUGAUAAUAAUUUUAAGGUUCUCUGACCUUAGGGGUUUCUGUUCUAACAAUCUACUAGUGAUUCUAAAUCUCCUGGCUUUGGAACCUGAUCCAGAGGCCCUCUGAUCUAAGAAUGCUGUUGUUCUGUCAGUGAUUAUAAAAGUCCUGUGGCCCAGAAAUAUAAUAAUAUUUUUUCCCUUAGACUUUAGGGAAGAUAUAAUAGUGAUUCUGAGACUAUUGCUCUAACACUCUGUCAGUGAUUUCAAGUCUUCUGGCCUUAGUAUAGUCCUAUAAACAUUACAUUCUGUAGAUCUGGGAUGACCAAAUUUUUGAGAGCACUCCUUGGUUCUACCUCUAGGCCAUAAAAUUAGCAUAUCAUUAACAUGAAGGAUUAGUUAAAUGUGUCACCUUGCUUCUGUUUCUUUGCUAAAUUCCCUUGUAAUUUAGAUUGCUUCUAUUGGCCUUAUAAUUACAAUAAACUUUGUUCCUUGAGUUGGCUAUGGGUUCAAGCUUGCAGAUUCUUUUGAGAUACCUUGCAACACUAGUCUGUGACCCUCCAGCCUUUUGGGUUCUCUUCCCAACCUCAAUAAAGG